AGUGAACGCUGGCGGCAGGCCUAAUACAUGCAAGUCGAACGGCAGCACAGCAGAGCUUGCUCUGUGGGUGGCGAGUGGCGGACGGGUGAGGAAUACAUGGGAAUCUGCCCAGUCGUGGGGGAUAACGUAUGGAAACGUACGCUAAUACCGCAUGCGCCCUAAGGGGGAAAGCCGGGGACCGCAAGGCCUGGCGCGAUUGGAUGAGCCCAUGUUCGAUUAGCUAGUUGGCGGGGUAAAGGCCCACCAAGGCGACGAUCGAUAGCUGGUCUGAGAGGAUGAUCAGCCACACUGGAACUGAGACACGGUCCAGACUCCUACGGGAGGCAGCAGUAGGGAAUAUUGGACAAUGGGGGCAACCCUGAUCCAGCCAUGCCGCGUGAGUGAAGAAGGCCCUCGGGUUGUAAAGCUCUUUUGUCCGGAAAGAAAGCAAUCGGUUAAUACCCGGUUGUCCUGACGGUACCGGAAGAAUAAGCACCGGCUAACUUCGUGCCAGC
rnacentral:rRNA from 1 species